rnacentral:rRNA from 1 species
AUUGAACGCUGGCGGCAGGCCUAACACAUGCAAGUCGAGCGGUUGAGGUAGCUUGCUACCGAUGCAGCGGCGAACGGGUGAGUAAUACAUGGGAAUCUGCCUGGUAGUGGGGGACAACGUUUCGAAAGGAACGCUAAUACCGCAUACGCCCUACGGGGGAAAGGGGGGGAUCUUCGGACCUCUCGCUAUCAGAUGAGCCCAUGUCAGAUUAGCUUGUUGGUGAGGUAAAGGCUCACCAAGGCGACGAUCUGUAACUGGUCUGAGAGGAUGAUCAGUCACACUGGAACUGAGACACGGUCCAGACUCCUACGGGAGGCAGCAGUGGGGAAUAUUGGACAAUGGGGGCAACCCUGAUCCAGCCAUGCCGCGUGUGUGAAGAAGGCCUUAGGGUUGUAAAGCACUUUCAGUGGGGAGAAAGGUGAUUCACCUAAUACGUGAGUCAAUUGAUGCUACCCACAGAGGAAGCACCGGCUAACUCCGUGCCAGCAGCCGCCGUAA